UUUUGACAUGUCUCGUCAGGAGAGAUGCGCCACCGGCAGCCGGUUUUGCCAAGACCUCCCUCGCAAAAUCUGCAUGCUGCCGACCAGCGACACUCUGAUCACUCCUUCCUCCCCCUCACCGAGUCGGACCGUCUCUCUCCUACCUCCUGCCUCCAUAGGACUCUCUGUGGCCCUCCAACCCUCUCUACCACUCUCCACCUUUCCCCAUCUCCCUCUCCUGCUUCCUAUUAGUCUAUACAAACCCCUUUGUUAAAUUAUUUGUAGGUGGUAUGAAUACAGCAACUGAUGUGACCAUGUGGGCUCUGUUUAAUAUGGGUAGUACAGGGUCUGAAUCUUGGCAGCAGAGAAAAAGCUGGGAAUGAAUGACUUGGCUUGAAUGGAAAUGGCACCCUGUUCCCAUGGGCCUGGGUCAGAGGUAGCGCCCUGUGUAAAGGGCUACAGUGCCAUUUGAGACAGCCUGGGUUUGGCAGCUUACAUUUCCUUUUAGGACCCUGUUGGAUCGAGCUAAGGCUGAACUAGCCAAUGAGGUUAGAGUGUGAGAGUGAGCAGUAUUCUACAUGGCCAUUAGGGAGCACUCUCACUGCUCCUCUCUGUCUAGUAGUCAUGCUGGGAAGGUAAACAUCGGAUCUUUUUAGGCUCUUUCUGCAAUUUCUGGACCUGUAUCAACCCAAUAUGAACCUAAUGUCUCUAUUGCACACAAAAAUAAUAUUUAGGCAAAUAUGGGCAAAAACCUAAACAACCACCUUGAAAUGGGAGAUUAAAAGAUCUAGUCAAAGCAUGGAAUAGUCUUCAAGUGAUCACAUUAUUCUUUUCACACAAUUAAUGUACAUAGAAAAGUAUACUAUAUAUUGCAUAUGUAUGUACAUGUAGGCAGUCAUAUACUGUAUUUACUCACACACAUAUACAGUAUAUAUACUUAUGGAUCCCCUUAGUUGAUGUGGCAGUAUUUAAAUGCAAUAACAAAUUCAGAUUGAGCUUACAAGCUUCAUGCUUAGAGCAAAUAGCAUCAUGCUUAGAGCAAAUAGUUGAUGUGUGUGGAUGAGUGUAUGGAUGAGUGUAUGGAUGAGUUAGGUCAUAGGAAAUCCACAAACAUCCUGAAAGAGACUCUGGCUUUUACUCAGAUGUGUGCACAUUAUCCUAGCUAUAGAAUAACAGCAGCUCCGUCUGAUCCAGGCACAGCAUGUCUACCUAGGCUGACGACCCGACCAAACAUUUCAAGGUUUUUUCUGAAAAAAAUGAUGUGUGCUUACUAAUGCAGUAACUCUUUUCAUCUGCUCAGAAACAUACUACAUCUGCAGGAAAAUACAUUUAUCCUAUAAAGGGAGAGAAAAAUUAUAUUCUGGGGCUGUAACAUACUCCUGUUUGGGUUGGAGAUAUUGGCAGUUCCAUAGGGUUCUUUGUUGUUCUAGAAGUUCUACUGGGUUUUUUAGGAUUCUGUGGGGUUUUGGAGGGUGAGGGAUAAAUAUGUAAAUAACACAAUUCCAAUUCACACAUGAAUAUGAAACCUUGUACAUGUGUGAACUAUGAACUAUAUAUACUGUAAGAACCCAUAUAAAUAUAAUGAUAAGCUCCAUUUACUCUUGAAGUAUUCUAUAGGGUUCCAGGGAGGGGUUCUAAAAGUUCCAAUGGUUUCUCUAGGAUUCAACAGGGUUCUGUAAGAUUCUAUAAUCUAUAUGCGGUUCUACAAGAUUCUUUAUGAUUCUCUAAGAUAGGGUCCUCGAGGGUUCGAUAUUGUUUUGGAGUGGGUUCUUUGAUGUUCUCGAGGGUUCUGUGAUGUUCCCUAGGCUUCUAUGGGGUUAUCCAGGGUUUUCUAGAAAUCUGUAUGUUGGACCUUCAUCUCAACAUGUCUGUCCUGUUGGCGUCUGUCCAGUGGUCUCUAGUUACAUUCACCAACAAAAAUAGAGAAAAUGUUAUUGGGAAAAGAUAUACAUUUUAGUAACUGUGUAGCAACUAUUUUUAUACUGUUCAUUGUUUUAUUAUCUAAGAUUAUUUAUGCUAUUUAUGAUUUGUUGUAUUUAAUUAUUUAUUGCAAGCUUUUUUCCUGUUAGGUGUGUCUACUCUGAUUUACACAUGUUGUUACUAUUUAUUAAUUUAUUGUUUACUGAAUGAUGAUAUUUCCGAUCUCAGAAAAAAAAAUUUGUGAGAAGACAAUAGUCCACAAAGAGACUCAAUCAAAUCAUUAAGAAUAAGCUGUGUUUUUGUUAAGCUGGCAUUCCAAAACUACCUAGACUCACCAGCCACUUAGGUACACCUGCUUGUUAACACAAAUAGACCAACAGCUGCAACUCAAAACAUAAAGCAAGCAGACAUGAUCAAGAGGUUUAGUUGUUGUUCAACCAAAUAGAGAGGGGAAGUCGAAUGAUCUAAGAGACUUUGACUGUGCCAGAUGUGACUUUCACACUUUACUGCCUGUAGAGCAGAUGCAUUCAAACCUAGGGUCAUAGCGGAAAGGCGACCCGCCUUUUAUUUUUACAGAAAAUAAUAAAAUAUUAACUAAUAUAACUAUAAACAUCUUGACGAGAAAGUUCAAUGGAUUAACUUUCACAACAUCAAAAUGUAUUGUUUUUAAUAGGCUACAAUAUAUAGCCUAGUCUGAUUAUUUUGCUUUAAGAACAACAAACUUUGCAUGGCCAGUUGCUACCUGGCAAUGAAAAUAUUCGUUUGAAAAUAAAAGUAUUUGUUUUUGAAUUUUUUUAUUUUUCAUAAGCUGUGUUCACUGCUAGUUUGAUUACUGCUUGUAGGGGCUAGUGCACGGUUUGCCAGAAAAAAUGACAAUUAUAUGAUUUGUCAUUGUGGGUUGACUUUAGCGCUGCUGGAAUGUUGUCAACAAAACGUACACAAGGCUUCACACAUGGGAACAAAUUCUGGUCCCUCCCAAAACAGUCUGAAUACCACUGCUCUAGAGUUCACCGAGAAUGGCGCGAUAAGCAUAAAAUCAUCCAGUGAGCAGCAGUUUUGUGGGCAAAAACAUGAGAGGUCAAAAAGGCCACAAACACAAAAAUAGCGUUGGUGUGCAGAAGGGCAUCUUUGAUCGCACGUGUUGAACUUUAUGCUGAAGGGCGACGGCAGCAGAACAACAUGCUAGGUUGCUACUAGUUUACCUGCUACAGUGGGCAGUCAGUGCCUGAUUCCCAAAGGCCUGUCUGCAUUUACAGAGAAAGAAAUAAGAAUGUAAAGAACAGGGACAUUUUGUUAGUUUUAGUGUAGUGUGGGAAACCCUUCACUGUCUAAUGUCUCACUAAUACCCCUUUUGAAAGACUCCCACUAGUAGGCAUCUGCUUGGUGUGAUGGCUGAACUCUGUUAGACAUGCAGCCUGGUUUACCAAUGCGGUGUGUAAACUCUUAACACACACACACACACAGCAAGUGAGCUCUCUUCCCAGCAAAUGGGUCCGUCCUCAGGAUACAACAGCACAACCUCCUUAAGGCCUUUUAUUUGAGUUUGCAGGGUUUGAACACCUCCUCUGUUCACCUCCUGAUCAAUCAGUCAGGAUUAGAGAGGGGUGAAGGGUGCAGGCUGGGGAGAGAUUGUGUGCGUGUGCACCUGGGUGUUGAACGAAAUGGGUUGGAGUUACAGUCCUCUCUCAUGCACUGUGAGUCUUUAAAUGUAGGGUUGGCAACAGUGAUUCUUUUUUUUAAUAACUUUUGUUUCAAUGGGGGAAUUUUGUUUUGCUAAGAAAUAGGUGAUUUUGCAAAACAAUGAUCAAAACCACAAAUUUGCUAUACAUUAGUUUAAUUGAGGAAAUGUGUUCCCAACCAUUCCCAGAAAUAAAAUAUGAAAAAAUGAUUUUGUAUAUCAAUGUGUAAUGAAUGUAUGACAUUAUUGGUAAUUUUUAUUGUCAUAUCCACUUUUUCAAGUUAUUGUACCCCAACCAUCCGCUAUACCUAAUCUAAUCUAGUAGCCUACCCCUGCUAAAACAUGAACAAAAGUCUCAUUGAAAUCUAUAAUGCAUUGUGCACUUUAGGUCAAGAGCUUGUUUGACCAUUGAACAUAACAUGCUGUUAAAUUAGAGUUUGAACCCUGGGGGGAAAAAGGUACAUUGUUUACAAUCCAAGGAAACAGAAUGUGGGAAGUGGACAGUAUCCUAUGUUUUCCUAGUCUUACAUUAUACAGGGCAAACAGAUAUUGGUCCAAAUCUCUGCACUGUAUGUAUAAAUGUGUUAUCUGUAAUGUCUGGUGACGGCAAUGAUGAUGUUGAUGAGAAUUAUUAUGAUGUUGAAGACGACGACGACGAUGAUGAUAUUUGGUGAUGAUGAUCACGAGUAUUGUUAUGAUGAUAUUGAUGAUGGUAAUAAUGAAACUGAGUGUGAGUUUGUCUGUUUGUCUGUUGCUUGACUAAUCAGUCAGUUGGAAAGAUGUUCUGGUCAUAUCUCUGAUACUGUAGCAAUCACAAUGCAUAGUGUACAGAGCAUUAUGGGUACUUUAGUGUAUCGUGAUACUUCAGCAGCCUAAAUGCAUAGUGUACAGAACGUUAUUGGUUCUGUAGUACAUCACCAUACUGUAGCAGCCUAAAUGCAAUGUAGAGAGCAUUAUGGGUACUGUAGUGUUUCAUGCGCCAAAAUCAGAAACAUAAAAGACUGGUUAAUACAGUAUACCCAAAAAAUAUAAAAAAUAAACAUACAGGCUAGUGGAACCACCUUUAUUGGUUGGCUUGUUGGAUUGUUUGUUUAUUUGUGUGUUUAUUUGUUUGUUUGACUCUAGUGUGUGUGAUAGUGCAUGCAGUUGAUGCCUCAGUAGCCACUGAGAUACGAAAAAAUGUUAUUAUAAUGAAACUCUUUCAAUAAAG
ensembl:lncRNA